rnacentral:rRNA from 1 species
UACAGAGGGUGCAAGCGUUGCUCGGAAUUAUUGGGCGUAAAGCGCGUGUAGGCGGCUUUGCAAGUCGGGUGUGAAAGCCCUCAGCUCAACUGAGGAAGUGCGCCCGAAACUGCAGAGCUUGAGUACCGGAGAGGAAGGUGGAAUUCCCGGUGUAGCGGUGAAAUGUGUAGAGAUCGGGAGGAACACCGGUGGCGAAGGCGGGUCUCUGGGCAAUUCCUGACGCUGAGGCGCGAAAGCGUGGGGAGCAAACGGG